UAUAUAUUGGAAUUAGCCGCUUUUUAUAACAAGACAAAUGAAACAUUGAUACGAAACGUUCUUUUGUUUGGAUCUUUCGUUGGGAACACGCUACGUUUUCGUCGUUGAAGACAAUAUUUCGAUUACAACAAAGAAAAAUGCCGAAACAUUUUCGGGAAUUGUCUUCGCGA